rnacentral:rRNA from 1 species
UACGGAGGGGGCUAGCGUUGUUCGGAAUUACUGGGCGUAAAGCGCACGUAGGCGGCUUUAUAAGUUAGAGGUGAAAGCCCGGGGCUCAACUCCGGAAUUGCCUUUAAGACUGCAUCGCUAGAAUUGUGGAGAGGUAGGUGGAAUUCCGAGUGUAGAGGUGAAAUUCGUAGAUAUUCGGAAGAACACCAGUGGCGAAGGCGACUUACUGGACACAUAUUGACGCUGAGGUGCGAAAGCGUGGGGAGCAAACAGG